UAGGUACUAGUAAAAGAAGGUCAUUUCACUCUUUCACGGAGACAGAUGAACAUACAGACCUAAAAAAAUUAUCUAAAAAAAAGAUCCAGUCCCACCUUUUCUAUUUUUCUUUCUUUUCACAAAAAUUUGGAAGGAAUUUUCUUUGAGUACUUGUUUGGAGUCAAGUUAUGGGUGGAUGCUGAAGUUGUGGGUGAUAUACUGCUGUUUUUCGUGGGCUGUUUCUGUUUGUUCAUUACUUUGAAAUUCAUUCUCCUGUUUGGUGACUUUUAGCUGGUCUUUUAAUUGUUGUUUCUGCAAUCAGGUAUGUGAAUCACCCAUGUAAAUCUUCUUAGAAUAUGAAAAAGAGAGUUUGAAUAACUGAAUGCAUGACUAUGCUUAAAUUCUAUGUGUUCUUUUAUGGGUUCUUGGUGAGUUAACUACAAUUGCUGCUUAUAGUUUUUUUUCUAUCUUUAAUAGUGAUUUUGUUUGUUCAUCUUAUAUUAGAAGUAUAAAAUAGGACUGAUAUGGUGUCUAUUGAGGAGUAAUUUAUAUUGCAAAUUUGAUAACCCAUUGUUAAACAUUGGUUCUGUAAUAAUAAUUGAUCAUGACAUAUUGUUUCACACUUUCACUCAUUUGUUGUUGCUCAUGGCCAAUAUGAUGCACAAGGAAAGCAUAGUGGCUUUUCUCCUUGUAAAUCACAGGGAUUGAUUGGAGAAAUGGACAAUACACACCCCAGGAGCAUGUUGAAUAAGGAUUAGUAUUUGAAUGGGAGUUGAAAGAAGCACUAACAUGCAUAUUUGGGUUUAUUGGUUAUAGCUGAAAAUUAAAACUCAUUAGUUGUAGUUAGUCAGCAAUAGGAGAUUUUGAAAUAUUUGAAGUUUAAGUCUAUAACAAAUGAGGAUUGGAUUUCGGCAUAUUAUUCGUAUAGCAAAUUUGUUAAUUUAGAAUGUAAUAUUUGAGCUUGUUAUAGUUAGAUAUAGGUAUGGUUGAUUUUUUAAUGUUAAAGUGGUUACCCUUUGAGAUUUUGGUGUCUACAAAAGUUGUCAGGCCUGGCAAACACUCAGGCCCAUAUCUGGUUCAAUUAUAUUAAGCCUUCAAGUUCUGAUGGUAGAACUCACCUAGCAGGCAGUGCUAGGCCCAAGCUUUCAUGGGCCUAGGCGAUUGGUCCUGGGCAUUAAACUCAAUAGCUUGGCUCGAUUUUAAAGUUUCUUUUUUACACAUAUGGUAUGAAUGUAUGUAUUUUAUAUCUUGCAAAUCAUGUUAGUGAAUUUAAUAUUUGAAUUUGGAUUGUUUUUUGAAAUUUUUGUUUCUGAUUUUCCUAUAACAAAGUGAAUCGUUAUUGCAAUUCUUUUUGGAAAAUGGAUAAGCUUUAGAAUACAAAGGGUAGAUAGGCCCAGCUACUAAAUGUUUGUAACUCAGCAAUAUAAGCUCGAUGUGAGCUAGCUUCAGCUAGAAAUCAGGCUUGUCAAGACCUUUGAAUUUAUUUCACUUUUGGGCUAAAUUCUAAGCCCAAUGCAGCUUCAAGGUCGAUUGAUGGUUUGCUAAUUGAUCAGAUAGGCUACUGUCAACUCAAGCCUCUUAUCGAAAACAAUUA
rnacentral:lncRNA from 1 species